CUCGUUUAGAUGCCUCUGGAAAAAAUCAGAUCAACAGAUUCUAGCACAAGACAAAUAAACAAAAAAAAAAAAAAAAAAAGACUAAAUUCCAAGGUGUUCCAUGACUACAGACUAUUCCUAAUCCUCAAAAUGAUCAUAGUAUUAAAUGUGCUUGUUCAAAAGCCUUGGAAAACAAAUAAGGAUGAAUCAGUAGAAAAUCACCAGUAUUACUGAUAAAAA
rnacentral:lncRNA from 1 species